ACAGAGAAAUGUCUAAUUUUUUUAUGCAAUGAAGUUGAAGUACUGAAAUUGACGUGUGCAAAAUUCUAGGUUAACGAUGAAAUAAGAGCGAAAAAAUGUUGAAAAUGUAACUUUUCACGUAUAUAACUUAGUGACAGCUUCUAUGAAACAUGGUCGAGUUAUUAAGCGCUACCGCAAGCGACAUCGAGGUGUAAAUCCGAGGAAAGGCUGGAAGAGAUACACGAUGACACAGUGUGGGCAGGUGUUCCGAAACCCUGCAGACCCGAAGAAACAGGCAUUCUUCCGCAGGUGUCCCAACGGAUUAUUUUCCUCUUUAUCCAUAAUUAUAUAAGAAGACGAGCUACAAUUCUUCGUGUACAGAUUCCGACUCUCGACCUUUCUGCAUCUAGUCAAAAAUAUUGUCCUGGAUUGAAAACUGGCACGGAAUUUUUCUCAUUCACCUCGCAGGCACGCUAAUGAAACGCCUUUCGACCUGGGCGACCAGAACAAUUCACGAGCAACUUAAGAUGCGUGGUCGGUCUUGAAAAGGAUGCCGGACAUCCCGAGAGAACUGGCGCGACCUAGAACCCGUUGGAAUGCCCAUAUGAACUGACGGUGUCGACAAUGCGCGUCUUCGGACAGACCUAUUAUCGUUUCGAUGAUAUACGACAAAGGAAAUAUAUUGAUAUAGCGGUGAAAGGAAAGGAUGGAAUUCCCGCCUUUCAACGGGAAACGCAAUGAAACGUUUAUUGUCUGAAACUCGUUAAAGCCUCGCCAGCUCGAUCAAAGAGUGAAAUUGCAGCCGCGGUGCAUCAGCGGCAAGAAAUAAUUGGGGCAGCUCGGCGCGGUCAGCUCGACGACGAUAAAGCAGGGCAUAAUAAACAGCCCGUAACAUGCGGGUAAUUAAGUCCAAGAACGCAGUUCAAGCGUGCCCGCGAUCCAUUCCAAAUGACAAUAAGCUUUUACUACCAUGGCGGCCUCGUUCGCAUUUAUGCGCUUUAUUCCUACUGUCUGCGUGUGAAUUGCACGCGGGAUCGACAUUUUUCAUCCCCCUAAAACAAGGCGAACCGUGGCGAGUCACGAGAUAUGCUUUCGUUCACUUUGCGAACGUGAACCUCCUUCCUUUAAUCGAGGGCGCGCUUCUGCCACUCCUAGACAAUCUGUUCGCGUAAUUAAAAUUGUAUUGGUGCCGCCUAGAUUAACAACUGCAAUGGUUUUUUUUUUUUAUUACGGUUUAGAGGCAAAUGUGCAUUUAAGCUCCAAGUUUUCACUUUUUUGAUUAGCGAAAGACAUUAUAAAGCAAAAAUUUCGUUCCAUUUCACGAUCAGCGACUUUUAUCGAACAAUCUCCAAGCUCGAGAAUCUUCGGAUUAUCGAGAGGAAGCGAGCAAUAAAAGACGGGAGAAGAAGGCACGAUAAAACGCAACAAGACGCAUUGCGUGGAUAUCUUGUUCCUUUACACAGAAGAAUCAACGGGAAGAUUCCAUUAUCUGAUUGCAUCGUGCGCGGGAGCGUCGAUGUGUUUUUUUUUUUUAUACAGAAUGAUGUACUUCAAAGUCUUACCGACAAAUUCCACGCUGGGUGCCGAACACAUUGCAGGAUCGGGAAUACACGAGCAAGCGAGCAUCCUGCGUCUCUGAAAGAUAAUUACUUCUUCGUCUCUCCUCCCCGUACACGCUUUGACUGGUAGUAAUAAUAAAUUCCUGACCACGUGGAUAAACGAAAGGCCGACUCUGUCAACGCGCGCAGACGAUGCGGCUCUGCACUUGAGCCUGUUUAAACGAUCUGCGACGCGUGAUACACUUGGAACGUGUUGUCACGUCGUGAUAAUCAUCGUAUUUAUAAAGCAAGCAUUAAAUCCAGCGCACGGAAAUUAUUCCACUCCUUCUCAAUAAUUCAAUCAAAAAAUAAUAAUUUCGAACACUCGCUAUUCAUAGAACGCAUAGAGAUAAACGUAAUUUUGUACUUCUGGCAAAGUAAAUUAAAAUAU